AUGAAACAAAAGAAAAAAGAUCUGUGUGGAUGCUUAACGAUCUCACACUUUUGCCUUCCAGGAGACGGAACUGUUAGAUCUCAGCCUUGUCAAAGACGCCAGAUGUGGGAAGCAUGCCAAGGCGCCCAAGGGUCCUCGUGGUGGCCAUCUCUACACACCACCCCUGGCAGCACACAGCUUCCCACACUGCAGCAAUUCUGUGUAGCAGGCAGCAAAAGAGAGGUUAGCUUCCUACAGAGUACUCCAGAAAGACUGAAGCGUAACCGCCUCAUAGAAGGAGGUGUCUGGUCCGGAGGAAGAAACCUCAGUAGGAGGGGACCAUUGUGUUGGUGAGACUAGAUGCAGUGGGAUGAUGAUUAGUGAGAAAAGUUGGGAAGCUUAGGACAAGAAGGUGGUGCAACAUGGAGACAGACUGAGUGGAAGACUUCCUGUGGACACAAUGAUCAGAGGAAGGCAGAACAGUGGAGCAGAUAGUGUUUAUCAAAUACGCAAGAACCCCGCAAGUAUUUAUCCAUAUAUUCCUAUUAUUUUUGUUUUUCACAACAAAACAAUUAUAGAAAAAUUCACAAUCUAGUUGAAGAUGAACUGUUUCCUAUGCCUGCUGUGAUAUGAAAUAACAUUUAUAGGACAUGAAAAAGCGUCUAUGUGUUAAUGAAUUUUAAAUGUCUACUCCUGACACAAUGCAUUCAAUUCCAGAUCUGCUUUGCUGUAUACAGCUUUUGUUCAGGUUAGCAGGUCUGCAAUUUCUCACUGGAGAGAAAUUAGGAAAUGUUUAUUCAAAUAGAAAAGCUAAACUAAAAGUACCUAAUUUUUUGAGAUAUAAAAUGUGUUUAUGCUUCCCUUUUUGUCCUCUCCCUCCCCCCCCUUUUGCCUCCUCUUCUGCCCCCUGCACCCUCAGGUUUAUGAAGCGUGUGUAAGAGAAAGAGUCUAUGUUACAUGCGUCUUAUCUAUGCUGUAUACACACACUGGAUCUUCAUUUCAAAAGGAGCUUUGAUUUUUAAAGGAGAGCGUAUCACUAUGGUUUCUGA
rnacentral:lncRNA from 1 species